UAGGGAAUCUUCGGCAAUGGACGAAAGUCUGACCGAGCAACGCCGCGUGAGUGAAGAAGGUUUUCGGAUCGUAAAACUCUGGUGUUAGAGAAGAACAAGGACGUUAGUAACUGAACGUCCCCUGACGGUAUCUAACCAGAAAGCCACGGCUAACUACGUGCCAGCAGCCGCGGUAAUACGUAGGUGGCAAGCGUUGUCCGGAUUUAUUGGGCGUAAAGCGAGCGCAGGCGGUUUCUUAAGUCUGAUGUGAAAGCCCCCGGCUCAACCGGGGAGGGUCAUUGGAAACUGGGAGACUGGAGUGCAGAAGAGGAGAGUGGAAUUCCAUGUGUAGCGGUGAAAUGCGUAGAAAUAUGGAGGAACACCAGUGGCGAAGGCGGCUCUCUGGUCUGUAACUGACGCUGAGGCUCGAAAGCGUGGGGAGCAAACAGG
rnacentral:rRNA from 1 species